rnacentral:rRNA from 1 species
UACGAAGGGGGCUAGCGUUGCUCGGAAUCACUGGGCGUAAAGGGUGCGUAGGCGGGUCUUUUAAGUCAGGGGUGAAAUCCUGGAGCUCAACUCCGGAACUGCCUUUGAUACUGGAAGCUUGAGUCCGGGAGAGGUGAGUGGAACUGCGAGUGUAGAGGUGAAAUUCGUAGAUAUUCGCAAGAACACCAGUGGCGAAGGCGGCUCACUGGCCCGGUACUGACGCUGAGGUGCGAAAGCGUGGGGAGCAAACAGGG